AUUGAACGCUGGCGGCAGGCCUAACACAUGCAAGUCGAGCGAGCGGCGGACGGGUGAGUAAUGUAUGGGGACUGCCCGAUAGCGGGGGAUAACUACUGGAAACGGUAGCUCAUACCGCAUACUAUCGGAUAACCCAUAUGGGAUUAGCUAUUAGGUGAGGUAAUGGCUCACCUAGGCGACGAUCCCUAGCUGUGCUGAGAGGAUGAUCAGCCAAACUGGGACUGAGAAACGGCCCAGACUCCUACGGAGGCAGCAGUGGGGAAUAUUGCACAAUGGGGGCAAGCCUGAUGCAGCCAUGCCGGGGGUAUGAAGAAGGCCCUAGGGUUGUAAAGUACUUUCAGUCGGGAGGCGUUACCGACAGAAGAAGCACCGGCUAACUCCGUGCCAGCAGCCGCGGUAAUUC
rnacentral:rRNA from 1 species